rnacentral:lncRNA from 12 species
CAAGCUGUAAAAGCUGUCUGAGCUACCAAAAGGAGUUGUGAGGAAAUAUGAGUGUUUCCAAAGAUAUUUGGAGAGAACAUGUGUUUAUAUAGGAAAUUUAUUUCAAACAAAAGCAAUUUAUCUUGUCUGAAGAUUCACGUGGUCGGUAAUGCAAUUGAAUUAGAAAAACAAGAACAGGAUGCUCAAAAAUUCUUACAUGUUUAAAAACAACACUAGACACUUCCUAUUUUAGAACAAGAUUUAAUUGCUUUCUGUAAAAUGCACUGGCAGGACAACCAUUUUCUCACUGGCAGGUAACAGCAGUUCCAAAAUAUGAACUUUCUCCAGUGUAGCUGUAGGAAGUGUUGCUGCCUAGAAACUAGCACAGUCAUUAAUCAAAGCAAAAAGAACAAACUGUUAUAUAAAGCAAUAAUUUUACUAGGCAAGUACUUUGAGUCUGCUUAGAACAGAUGAUCAGAACAUAUUACCCAGUUCUUGGUUUAUUGUCUCCAUAAAAACUUGGAAGAAUGCAUGUCUACGCCAGUAAUUUAUUUUUUCCAGCCUCAAAUAUUCUGCAAGUGAACUGGGCAGGGGAAGGAGGGUGGGUUGGUGGAUUUGUUUGUAUAUUUGUUGGAUGGUUGGUUGGUUGAUUGGUUUGCUGGGUUUUUUCAUCUUUCUGGUUCUUGCAAUAAUUGGUAAAAAUUGGUUUCUUGCUGGGGGGUUCAAGCACAAACAUUGCCCUCCUUGAUUGCACUGUAGCUGAAAAGGAGUGAACAGCAGCUGGAGUUUCACUGGGGGUGCUGUUAUCAAUAGGUGACGUGGAAAUCUUCAGGAUAAUCUGAAACAGUCUCAGCAGAAGUAACAGGAUGAAAGCUGACGUGGAAAUCUUCAGGAUAAUCUGAAACAAUCUAAGCAGAAGUAACAGGAUGAAAGGGAAAUCUUCAGGAUAAUCUGAAACAGUCUCAGCAGAAGUAACAGGAUGAAAGCAAGCAGAAGGAAAUUUAUGCUGAUCCUCAGGGAAAAGCACUCUUCAUAUUGCAUCCAGGCUAAAGGAGUGACUGAACACAGAUUAUCUCCUCCUGGUCCUCCCACUGGCAAAAAGAGAAUGCACUAAAUUCCUGCACCGUACAGAGAUCUUUGUGUCUGCUAUAGCAAAGGCAUUAUAAAAAGUUUUUAAAUAUUGAAGAAUGUAAGAUUUUUCUUGUAUAGAAUCUGCACAGCUAGAGCAUUAUAAAAAAGCAUUUACAAGGCUUUCUGCUCAUUUGCUUGAUA